ensembl:lncRNA
UUUUUUUUCUUUUAUAGAGAAGGGGUUUCGCUAUGUUUCCCAGGCUGGUCUCUAAUUAUUGACCUCAAGUGAUCCGCCCACCGUGGCUUCCCAAAGUGCUGGGGUUACAGGCGUGAGGUUAUAGGCCGAGCCCUUAAAUUAUUCAAAGCUAAAGUUCUAGUCCCAAGACCCCUUGUUAAGUCCAAAAGUCCUCCAGUACCUGAAAUACCUCACAGCUGCUAGGCUUUAUGGCUGUUGUCAGACAGUUCAAACACAAAUAGAGCCAAAUAUCCUGCCAGCCAGCACUGACCUGCUCCCAAGAAUCAUGUGUUAUGGUUUCCAUCACACUCAGCCAUCAAGUCCUGUUUGAACUUGUCAUCCCCGCAAACCAUGUGACUGCUGGCACCUACCUGGGUCACAUGUGCCUCUUCCCUUGGGACACAGCUUUUUGCAAAAAGGCCACAGCCACUUGCUAAGAUGAGUCAGAAGUUCCCCAAAUCUCCUGACACAACUCAGGGGCAAAGAGAAAGGGACAGCAAACAGGCCCAGCAGGGGCUGUCUAGCCAUGACAUAAGAAGCCAGCACAUAUCUUUAGAGAAGCCUUCAGCUCCGAAUCCCAACCUGCUUCACAAACACGUGGGGCAAGCUCCAGAGAUGGCAUUUCCACUGGUGAUGACAGGAACUGGACCAAACACCACAAUCCGCCUGGAUACUCUUGACGUUCAGUACAUUCACAGAAGCUUCCUUGACCACUCCUGGGCCCAGGGACCCUGUCAGGCCAAGGAGCUGGUUCCCAGAAAGGGGAAGAUUCUGACAAGCAGAGUAUUUUCUCUCUGAGCAGGUGUGGUUCCUCACUGAAACAGGAAUCCUCUGUGUUCCACAAGCGAGACACAGAACAAACAGUGCCCCAGGCCAGAGAACUGAGGCCAGACCUGCUUCCCAGGUGACCCCAGUGUCCACACAAUAAAUGCCCCUGUGGGAUGGGGACCAUCCACCUGCCUCUUUGCACACACUAGUCCCCUGGCCAUUCUCCUGCGAAGGCCUCAACCUCCCAAAGCCCUUUAAAAGAUACCAUUUUUUCCAUCCCCCUUUAAUUGUCUUGAGCCAAUGGGGACAGGUUCAGACUCCGUCCCUGAUUACUUUGGUGGGUAAAUCCCCUGCUGCUCAGCCGAGGAGGGCUCUCAGUAACCUUGGUCCAGCCAUCCAGUUCCCCACAGCCCCGGUGCCACGAAGAGCCUGGCUCCCCCACCCCCUGCCAGGCCCUUGACUUUCAGCCAAGCGUACCUGCUCACUCUUUUCCUGUGCUUUCCUGCACGCAUGCUUUGAUUCCAACUUUUAAAAGGCCUGGCUCACGGGCUCACACCUGUAAUCCUGGCACUUUGGGAGGCCGAGGCCGGAGGAUCUCUUGAGCCCAGGAGUUCGAGACCAGCCUGGCCAACAUAGAGAGACUCGCAUCUCUACAAAAAAAAUUAAAAUUAAAAGAUUAUUGGGGCCGGGCGUGGUGAUUCAUGCCUGUAAUCCUAGCACUUUGGGAGGCUGAGGCGGGCAGAUCAUCUGAGGUCAGGAGAUGGAGACCAGCCUGGCCAACAUGAGAAACCCCAUUUCUACUAAAAAUACAAAAAUAAUCCAGGUGUGAUGGCAGGCACCUGUAGUCCCAGCUACUUGGGAGGCUGAGGCAAGAAAAUCGCUGGAACCCGAGAGGCAGAGAUUGUAGUGAGUCGAGAUCAUGCCACUGCACUCGAGCCUGGGCAACAAAGCAAGACUCCCUCUCAAAAAAAAAAAAGAUUAUUGGGUGUGGUAGUGCGUACCUGUAAUGCCAGCUACUUGGGAGGCCGGGGCAAGAGAAUUCAUUGAGUGCAGGAGUUUGAGGCUGCAGUGAGCCAUGACAGUGACACUGCACUCCAGCUGGGGCAACAGAGUGAGACUCUGUCUCUUAGAAAAAAAAAAAGUAGGAAAGAGAGUUUUUACAUACCCUUCAUCCAGCUUCUCCUAAUGUUAAUGACUUACAUACUCAUAGUACAAUAAUCAAAACCAAGGAAUUAACUCUGGAAUGAUACUAUUUCACCAGAUUCUCCACUAAUGUCUUUUUUUUCUGUUUCAACAUUCAAUCCAGGAUCCCUCACUGCCUUUAUCCUCAUGUGUCCUGCAAGCUGAGACAGUUCCUCUGCGUUUUCUUGUCCUUCAGGACCCUGACAAUUUGGAAGAGUCCUAGUCAGGUAUUUUGUAAGUGAUCCCUUAACUUGGGUUCAUCUGAUGUGUUUUCUUACCGUUAAACUGAGGUUAUACAUUUCUGGCAAGAUUCCCAAAGAGAUGACGUGCCCUUCUCAGUGCAUCAUAUAAGAAAGUAUAUGAGGAAACUGAGGCCCAAGAGCUUAAAUAAUUUCCUCAAAGGCAAAUGGCUAAUAAUGGACAGAGCUGGUACUCAAGUUUGCACAACUAAAAAGGCAUUGGUCUUUUUACCUUUCCCUGUUGCCUUCCAGAGCACAGAAACCAUACUUUAAGCAACAUACUGGUUAUGUAAUACAUGAAACACAGUAUUCUACAUUAUUGCAGGUACAAUAUGAAUAUACAGGCCAGGCGCGGUGGCUCAUGUCUGUAAUCCCAACACUUUGGGAGGCCAAGUAGGGUGGAUCAUUUGAGGUCAGGAGUUCAAGACCAGCCUGUCCAACAUGAUGAAACCCUGUCUCUACUAAAAAUACAAAAAUUAGCCAGGCAUGGUGUCGUGUGCCUAUAAUCCCAGCUACUAGGGAGGCUGAGGCAGGAGAAUCUCUUGAGCCUGGGAGGUGGAGGUUGCAGUGAGCUGAGAUGGCAUCACUGCACUCCAGCCUGGGCGACAGAGUGAGACCCUGUCUUUAAAAAAAAAAAAAAAAAAAGUACAUGAUGUUGAUUUAUCUUACCACUGGUGAUGCUAAUCUUGAUCAUUUGGCAAAAGUGAUAUCUUCCAGGGUUUUCCACUGUAAUCUCAUUCUUUUCCCCCUUUAUAAUUAGAAAAUAUUUGAGGGGAGAUGCUUUGACACUAUGUAAAUAUCCUAUUUCUCCCUUUUGCCCUCUAACUUACCAUUCAUCAGCAGAUCUUUCUACGGCAAUUAUUACUGUUAUAUUUUAAGGGUGAUCUUCCAUUUCCUUCUUAUUCAAUAGAAGAAAAGUAACGGGUAACUAUUGUGUAUAAAUAGGGUGUCCACGUGAUUUGUCAUUCAAACCAGGACACUUUUGAAAGUGAAAGAAGGUACUAUUAAUAACUACAGUAUGGCAACAAGCAUAAGUUUGUCCUGGGAAAACUGGGAUGCACAGUCACUCUAUGUGUAAAAUCAAAUCUCCAGCUCAAAACAACAGAAACUGGUCAACAUUUACUGAAAGUAUCUGUAUCUUCAAGAAAGUCAACAGCAAUCUUUGGUGGGGUUUUGUGGGGAAAUAGAUCACCUUAUGGCUGAGUUAAAUGUGCAAAGGAAUAGAAACUGCUGGCUUGUGGAAGAUAAUUGUGAAAGACAAUCAAGGGCUAGGAAGCAAAAGCCAUAAGCAGCCUAAUAUACAAGAAAUAAUCCCCCUCUUCCAAACAAGAGAGAAUGCAAACCUGCCUGUGAACCAGCUGGACAGUACUUGUCCCUGCGAAAGGGACUAUGUCGCAUAAACUCAUUAGUCUUUCAGACCCUAAACACUUUCUUCUCUCAUGUCAAGGCCAAUUUUGAGUAUUCUGUUUAAUAAUUUCCUUCACACAUCUAGUCACUUAGAUCAUUUCCUUUUAGAAGACACUAAGCCACGAAGAAGGUAAAAUGGGGAAUCUCACCAGGGAGGGUGUGUUCCCUGGAAGGUCGUUCUCCUAUAUUUAUUUGGAAAAGGUUUCAGACCCCAGCAUCUGCCCAAGCUGUCUCCAGUUGGUCUGUAGUGGGCAACACCUCUUUGGCACAAAGUCAUGACCCAGUAUUAUUUUUUCCCAUUCUACCAAGGAGGAAAUGGAGCCUUUGUGAGGGGCAAAGGAUCUGUUUAAAUUCCUGACUUGACGCAGUAAGCGGCCAGAGUGGAGAUUACUCAUGCUGCAGCUAUGGGCCUCCUCUUUCAACUUUAAUGGGAAUAGUCAACAUCCUAUUAUUUGAAUGUUUAUCCUGGGUUCAUAUUAUUUCACACAGGGAAAGGCAUUUAAUGGUAGAAAUAUUUUCAAACCUAAAAAGCUAAAAGAGAGGAAAAUCUUCCACAUAUCCAUACUGGAAACAAUGGCCUGGAAGAAACCUGUACAGAGGAUGAGAGAUUAUUUGAUAAAUCUGUUACCUUAUGUGGAAAGCCAUAGUGUCUAUGAAUAAUAAUUUCCAGCUCAGAGGAUCUGACGAGUGCUUCAGUUAGACCCUGCCCCCAGAGUGCUCAACAUAAUGAUUAUUUUUCUUGUUGUUGUAAAUAUUAAUAAGCAACAACUGUAGCCUAACACUGUGGAGAAAACUUAAAAACUAGUGAUACAAAGCAGAGUAACAACUUCAGAAAUGAUUCCUUGCUUUCCUGGAGCUAUUCAAGAUAGAGUCCACAGGGCAUCCAAAUAGUCAUUUCAAGGAAUUAUAAUCAUAAAAGCUUCCAGUUAAUGAAUUUAGAGGAAAUGGUAGAAUUCGGCCAGGCACAGUGGCUCACGCCUGUAAUCCCAGCACUUUGACCGAGGCAGGCAGAUCACCUGAGGUCAGGAGUUCAAGACCAGCCUGGCCAGCAUGGCAGAAACCCAUCUCUCCAUUCAAAAUACAAAAAUUAGCUGGGUGUGGUGGCGUGCGCCUGUAGUCCCAGCUACUUGGGAGGCUAAGGCAUGAGAAUCACUUGAAGCUUGAACCCAGGAAGCGGAAGUUGCAGUGAGCUGAGAUCAUGCCAGUGCUCUCCAGCCUGGGAGACCGAGACUCUGUCUCAAACAAAAAAAAAAAAAAAAAAAAGAAGAAGAAAUGGUAGAAUUAGAAUAUCGCCAUUAUGUAACCCUCAUGAAAUAAUGACAAUAACAAUGGUCAUCAAUGGCUGCUAAUACACAAAAGGCAAGUGGACAUCAUGUGCUUCUCACCCUAUCUAUUCACAGAAUACUAUAAAGUAUUCUUGACAAAGACUGGACCCAGGCUGGGCGCGGUGGCUCAAACCUAUAAUCCCAGCCCUCGGGAGGCCAAGGCAGGUGGAUCGCCUGAGGUCAGGAGUUCGAGACCAAUCUGGCCAACAUGGUGAAACCCCAUCUCUACUAAAAAUACAACAGUUAGCUGGGGGUGGUGGCAGGUGCCUGUAAUCCCAGCUACUCAGGAGGCUGAGACAGGAAAAUUGCUUGAACCGGAAGGCGGAGGUUGCAGUGAACCGAGAUCAUGCCACUGCACUCCAGCCUGGGGGACAAGAGUAAGACUCCAACUCCAAAAAAGAAAAAAAAAAAAAAAAA